rnacentral:rRNA from 1 species
GACGAACGCUGGCGGCGUGCUUAACACAUGCAAGUCGAACGGAAAGGCCCUGCUUUUGUGGGGUGCUCGAGUGGCGAACGGGUGAGUAACACGUGAGUAACCUGCACUUGACUUUGGGAUAACUUCAGGAAACUGGGGCUCAUACCGGAUAGGAGCUCCUGCUGCAUGGUGGGGGUUGGAAAGUUUCGGCGGUUGGGGAUGGACUCGCGGCUUAUCCGCUUGUUGGUGGGGUUGUGGCUUACCAAGGCUUUGACGGGUAGCCGGCCUGAGAGGUUGGCCGGCCACAUUGGGACUGAGAGACGGCCCAGACGCCUACGGGAGGCAGCAGUGGGGAAUAUUGCGCAAUGGGGCGAAGCCUGAUGCAGCGACGCCGCGUGCGUGAUAACGGCCUUCGAGGUGUAAACCGCUGUCGCCUGUGAUGAAGCGUGAGUGACGGUAAUGGGUAAAGAAGCACCGGCUAACUACGUG